AAGAGUUGUCCUGAAGCCGUUGACGGCCGCGGACGAGCAUGGCUGCUCUACAUCCGGGGUUUCGCCGUCACUUCAUUUUGCUCAAAGGGUCCUGUGCAGCAACGGGGACGCCAUUGAGUGUCGUUGGCGUGUCGACCACUUCCCAGGUUCUAGCAGAUUGUUGGUGGAGAUCGCUACAGCAGGCUGGUGCAGACUGGUGGUGUUGGUGGGGACCGCUACAGCCAUCGGAAGGGAUUUGGCAGGAGGUGGAGCCUUCUUUGCUUGACUUUUACUGCCAAGGUAGCUUUUUCCCUUCCCAUGGUUCUUCCCUUUCAUUAUUGAUGCAUUUACCUGCAAUCCUGAGCCUCAACCUGGUGUAUUUGGUGAUCACUCUCCUCUUGACAUCAUGGCAGGAUGGAAGGUUUGAUUUCACAGUCAUGGCCUCUUCCACUAGUUCACUGACUGAGCACUCCAUUAGGGCUUCUGAUGUCCUGGCCCGGAACAGCUGCUCAACGUGCUGCAGUAAAGAGAAUACAUCCGCAGAUGGCUGGUGAAGUGCGCCCUCUCUGUACUCCUUCAUCUGCAGCAGUGUGGCGUUGUCCGGUACAGCGUCGUCACUGUUCCUUAAGGCAGGCUUACAGGCCGAACACAAAGAGCCGCCUAGUACACCCUUGAUGACGUAUCCGGCCAGAUGGUAUAGCACACAGGACUCCGCUUUUGUGGAAAUGAUUCUGCUCCUACUGCAUGAGACUGCUGCUGUUGAUGGGGAAGUGCUUUUGCCAGAAAUGGCUUAGUUGCAGGUGGUGGCUUUCUUGAGUUGCACUGAUAAGGUUGAUGCUUUCAAUGCAUUGGAAGUUCCAGCAUGUUCCAGUGAAUUCCAAUUCUUCAUGCAUUAUUGAUUUCACACACACACACACACACACACACACACACA